UACAGAGGUCUCAAGCGUUGUUCGGAUUCAUUGGGCGUAAAGGGUGCGUAGGUGGCGCGUUAAGUCAGGUGUGAAAUUUCGGAGCUUAACUCCGAAACUGCAUUCGAUACUGCCGUGCUUGAGGACUGGAGAGGAGACUGGAAUUUACGGUGUAGCGGUGAAAUGCGUAGAUAUCGUAAGGAAGACCAGUGGCGAAGGCGGGUCUCUGGACAGUUCCUGACGCUGAGGCACGAAGGUCAGGGGAGCAAACGGG
rnacentral:rRNA from 1 species